UAAUGCCUAGGGAACUGCCCAGUCGAGGGGGAUAACAGUUGGAAACGACUGCUAAUACCGCAUACGCCCUACGGGGGAAAGAAGGGGACCUUCGGGCCUUUCGCGAUUGGAUGUACCUAGGUGGGAUUAGCUAGUAGGUGAGGUAAUGGCUCACCUAGGCGACGAUCCCUAGCUGUUCUGAGAGGAUGAUCAGCCACACUGGGACUGAGACACGGCCCAGACUCCUACGGGAGGCAGCAGUGGGGAAUAUUGCACAAUGGGCGCAAGCCUGAUGCAGCCAUGCCGCGUGUGUGAAGAAGGCCUUCGGGUUGUAAAGCACUUUCAGCGAGGAGGAAAGGUUAACGGUUAAUACCCGUUAGCUGUGACGUUACUCGCAGAAGAAGCACCGGCUAACUUCGUGCCAGCAGCCGCGGUAAUACGAGGGGUGCAAGCGUUAAUCGGAAUUACUGGGCGUAAAGCGUACGCAGGCGGUUGAUUAAGCGAGAUGUGAAAGCCCCGGGCUUAACCUGGGAACUGCAUUUCGAACUGGUCAACUAGAGUCUUGUAGAGGGGGGUAGAAU
rnacentral:rRNA from 1 species